CGACUUUUGAGCUAACAGGCAAUCUCGCUUUUAAAACUGUCCUAUUCCCUCCUUUGGCAAUCGUCACUCGCCGUGUAAUCUACUUUCAACUUCCUAACAAUUAACGGAGUAAUGAUAACAUGCUUCUAAUGCCUUUAAUCUUGGAUUGGAGGAACCUGAUGCGGGACUUCGAGAAGAUCCGGAUGAAGCAUGUAUAUCGUGAAGCCAACUCUGUGGCCGACUACCUCACUCGGAUAGCUAGGAAUAAUUAUGUUACUGUCUAUGACAUUGUUUAUGGGCUCUUGAACAUUUAUUCGCUGAUGUUGUCGGUGUUUUGAGCGCCCGCUUAGCUUGUAUGAGCCAUGCUUAUGUGGCGAAUUUGGAUACUCUGAAUUAAUAUGAUUCUACUUUGCUUUAAAAAAAAAAA